rnacentral:rRNA from 1 species
GACGAACGCUGGCGGCGUGCUUAACACAUGCAAGUCGAACGGAAAGGCCCUGCUUUUGUGGGGUUCUCGAGUGGCGAACGGGUGAGUAACACGUGAGUAACCUGCCCUUGACUUUGGGAUAACUUCAGGAAACUGGGGCUAAUACCGGAUAGGAUCUCCUGCUGCAGGGUGGGCGUUGGAAAGUUUCGGCGGUUGGGGAUGGACUCGCGGCUUAUCAGCUUGUUGGUGGGGUAGUGGCUGACCAAGGCUUUGACGGAUAGCCGGCCUGAGAGGGUGGCCGGCCACAUUGGGACUGAGAUACGGCCCAGACUGCUACGGGAGGCAGCAGUGGGGAAUAUUGCACAAUGAGCGGAAGCCUGAUGCAGAAGCGCCGCGUGCGGGAUGACGGCCUUCGGGUUGUAAACCGCUUUCGCCUGUGACGAAGCGUGAGUGACGGUAAUGGGUAAAGAAGCACCGGCUAACUACGUG